UGGGGAAUUUUGGACAAUGGGCGCAAGCCUGAUCCAGCAAUGCCGCGUGCGGGAAGAAGGCCUUCGGGUUGUAAACCGCUUUUGGCAGGAACGAAACGGUGUCCGCUAAUACCGGGCGCUAAUGACGGUACCUGCAGAAUAAGCACCGGCUAACUACGUGCCAGCAGCCGCGGUAAUACGUAGGGUGCGAGCGUUAAUCGGAAUUACUGGGCGUAAAGCGUGCGCAGGCGGUUGUGUAAGACAGGCGUGAAAUCCCCGGGCUCAACUGGGAAUGGCGCUUGUGACUGCACGGCUGGAGUGCGGCAGAGGGGGAUGGAAUUCCGCGUGUAGCAGUGAAAUGCGUAGAUAUGCGGAGGAACACCGAUGGCGAAGGCAAUCCCCUGGGCCUGCACUGACGCUCAUGCACGAAAGCGUGGGGAGCAAACAGGAUUAGAUACCCUGGUAGUCCACGCCCUAAACGAUGUCGACUGGUUGUUGGGUCUUAGGUGACUCAGUAACGAAGCUAACGCGUGAAGUCGACCGCCUGGGGAGUAC
rnacentral:rRNA from 1 species